AUGAUGCUUAGCUUGCUAGGUGGAUUAGUGGCGAACGGGUGAGUAACACGUAGGUAAUCUGCCCUGCACUUUGGGAUAAGCCUGGGAAACUGGGUCUAAUACCGAAUAGGACACACUAUCUUUACGGUGGUGUGUGGAAAGCUUUUGCGGUGUGGGAUGAGCCUGCGGCCUAUCAGCUUGUUGGUGGGGUAAUGGCCUACCAAGGCGUCGACGGGUAGCCGGCCUGAGAGGGUGUACGGCCACAUUGGGACUGAGACACGGCCCAGACUCCUACGGGAGGCAGCAGUGGGGAAUAUUGCACAAUGGGCGAAAGCCUGAUGCAGCGACGCCGCGUGGGGGAUGAAGGCCUUCGGGUUGUAAACUCCUUUCGCUAGGGACGAAGAGUUACAUUGACGGUACCUGGAGAAGAAGCACCGGCUAACUACGUGCCAGCAGCCGCGGUAAUACGUAGGGUGCGAGCGUUGUCCGGAAUUACUGGGCGUAAAGAGCUCGUAGGUGGUUUGUCGCGUCGUCUGUGAAAUCCCGGGGCUUAACUCCGGGCGUGCAGGCGAUACGGGCAUAACUUGAGUGCUGUAGGGGAGACUGGAAUUCCUGGUGUAGCGGUGAAAUGCGCAGAUAUCAGGAGGAACACCAAUGGCGAAGGCAGGUCUCUGGGCAGUAACUGACGCUGAGGAGCGAAAGCAUGGGUAGCGAACAGGAUUAGAUACCCUGGUAGUCCAUGCCGUAAACGGUGGGCGCUAGGUGUA
rnacentral:rRNA from 1 species